rnacentral:tRNA from 1 species
GCCUGGGUGGCUCAGUCAGUUGAGCGUCUGUCUUCAGCUCAGGUCAUGACCCCAGGGUCCUGGGAUCGAGUCCCACGUCAGGCU